rnacentral:misc_RNA from 1 species
CAGAGUUGCAAAACUCCCACAAACCAUCGCGAAUCUUACUCGUACGGUUGCCUCGGCGCUGGCGGUCCGGAAGGCCCUCGGGCCCCCCGGAUCCUCGGGUCUCCCGCCCGCGGGAGGCUGCCCGCCGGAGUGCCGAAACCAAACUCUUGAUAUUUUAUGUCUCUCUGAGUAAACUUUUAAGUAAGUCA